rnacentral:lncRNA from 1 species
GUCAACUGGAAUGCCUACGCCAAUACCAUCAAACCCUUCCCAGUACAGAAAAAAACUUUUGGGGGAAGUGUUUCCCGCGAUCAGUUCAACUUCACAGAACUUUUUGAAAAUUCAGGAAACCUUACAGUCUGUCAGAAAGAGUUAUGCUGUCAUCUAAGCUACAAAAUGUUAGAAAAAAAAGAGAACGAAGCCUACGUUCUGGGGGCUUUUACAGGACUUCAUGGCCGAAGGCAAAGAGAGUACUGGCAGGUGUGCACAAUGCUGAAAUGUAAAACUGCUGAUUUGAAAACUUGUGGACAGCCAGCAGAAACUGCUUCUACAAGAUUUGAAAUGUUCUCCCUUAGUGGUACAUUUGGAACAGAGUAUGUUUUUCCUGAAGUGCUACUUUCUGAAAUUCGCCUGGCACCUGGAAAAUUUGAGGUAAGAGGAUUUCAAGAGUAUUUCCAUCUUCUCUUUCUCUGAAGCCAAG